GAUGAACGCUGGCGGCGUGCCUAAUACAUGCAAGUCGAGCGAACAGACGCGGAGCUUGCUCCUCUGACGUUAGGGGCGGACGGGUGAGUAACACGUGGAUAACCUACCUAUAAGACUGGGAUAACUUCGGGAAACCGGAGCUAAUACCGGGUAAUAUAUUGAACCGCAUGGUUGAAUAGUGAAAGACGGUUUUGCUGUCACUUAUAGAUGGAUCCGAGCCGCAGUAGCUAGUUGGUAAGGUAACGGCUUACCAAGGCAACGAUGCGUAGCCGCCCUGAGAGGGUCAUCGGCCACACUGGAACUGAGACACGGCCCACACUCCUACGGUAGGCAGCAGUAGGGACUCUUCCGCAAGGGGGGAAAGCCUGACGGAGCAACGCCGCGUGAGUGAUGAAGGUCUUCUGAUCGUAGAGCGCUGUUAUUAGUGAAGAACAAAUGUGUAAGUAACUGUGCACGUCUUGACGGUACCUAAUCAGAAAGCCCCGGCUAACUACGUG
rnacentral:rRNA from 1 species